rnacentral:sRNA from 1 species
GAACUUUGGAGUUUGCGGAGGCGGCUCUACUGGAUAUCCGGUACACAAACGGUACCUGAGGAUCUGGCCUCGAUCGCCUGGACGGCAGAUUCUUGCGUAAUUCAUUGCCAACGUUUGACUUCUUUUGGGAGGUUAGGGGCCGUGGCGACAGGGCUGGAUGGAUUGGUCUCGGAUUGAUUGUAUCGACGGUACAGAGGAAAUAGAGUCGUUUGAAGAAUGAUGACUCUUUCGAAGGCGAUGAUCAUGGAGUGAACAUAACUAGGACCCUUGGUAACUUGAAGCUUGUUGUCCUGUCCAAUGUAGUAUCCAACUCCUUUCCAAGGUUGAGACAUCUCGGUCCAUCACAACUUGAACUUGAACC